CUACGGGAGGCAGCAGUGGGGAAUAUUGCACAAUGGGCGCAAGCCUGAUGCAGCCAUGCCGCGUGUAUGAAGAAGGCCUUCGGGUUGUAAAGUACUUUCAGCGGGGAGGAAGGGAGUAAAGUUAAUACCUUUGCUCAUUGACGUUACCCGCAGAAGAAGCACCGGCUAACUCCGUGCCAGCAGCCGCGGUAAUACGGGGGGUGCAAGCGUUAAUCGGAAUUACUGGGCGUAAAGCGCACGCAGGCGGUUUGUUAAGUCAGAUGUGAAAUCCCCGGGCUCAACCUGGGAACUGCAUCUGAUACUGGCAAGCUAGAGUCUCGUAGAGGGGGGUAGAAUUCCAGGUGUAGCGGUGAAAUGCGUAGAGAUCUGGAGGAAUACCGGUGGCGAAGGCGGCCCCCUGGACGAAGACUGACGCUCAGGUGCGAAAGCGUGGGGAGCAAACAGGAUUAGAUACCCGAGUAGUC
rnacentral:rRNA from 1 species